rnacentral:rRNA from 1 species
CGUUCCCGGGCCUUGUACACACCGCCCGUCACACCACGAAAGUCAGUUGUACCAGAAGUCGGUGUACCAACCCGCAAGGGAGGAAGCCGCCGAAGGUAUGGCCGGUAAUUGGGUG